UUUGCCCUGCGAUGUGCGUGAUGUUGUUUAGCAUUUUGACCCAGUACUGUUGAUCCGGGAGCCUUUCCCUGAGGUGGUGAGCUACUCCUUGCGAGUCAGCCUAAAGCUUCAGCCAGGGCGCCCACCUGGCGAUAGCUGGGGAUCAAGCGCUCUCAGCACACGGCAUACUAGUGGGGCAUUU
rnacentral:other from 1 species